AAUAGAUACCCAGGUAGUCCACGCCGUAAACGAUGAGUGCUAAGUGUUAGGGGGUUUCCGCCCCUUAGUGCUGCAGCUAACGCAUUAAGCACUCCGCCUGGGGAGUACGGUCGCAAGACUGAAACUCAAAGGAAUUGACGGGGGCCCGCACAAGCGGUGGAGCAUGUGGUUUAAUUCGAAGCAACGCGAAGAACCUUACCAGGUCUUGACAUCCCAUUGACCACUAUGGAGACAUAGUUUUCCCUUCGGGGACAACGGUGACAGGUGGUGCAUGGUUGUCGUCAGCUCGUGUCGUGAGAUGUUGGGUUAAGUCCCGCAACGAGCGCAACCCUUGUUCUUAGUUGCCAUCAUUUAGUUGGGCACUCUAAGGAGACUGCCGGUGACAAACCGGAGGAAGGUGGGGAUGACGUCAAAUCAUCAUGCCCCUUAUGACCUGGGCUACACACGUGCUACAAUGGACGGUACAAACGGUUGCCGAACCCGCGAGGGGAGCUAAUCCGAUAAAACCGUUCUCAGUUCGGAUUGUAGGCUGCAACUCGCCUACAUGGAACG
rnacentral:rRNA from 1 species